rnacentral:rRNA from 1 species
AUAACGGUCCUAAGGUAGCGAAAUUCCUUGUCAGGUAAGUUCUGACCCGCACGAAUGGCGUAAUGAUCUGGGAGCUGUCUCAACUGCCCGCCCGGCGAAAUUGUAGUACCGGUGAAGAUGCCGGUUACCCGCGACUAGACGGAAAGACCCCAUGGAGCUUUACUGUAGCUUAAUAUUGGAUUUCGGCAUUUCAUGUACAGGAUAGGUGGGAGACUAGGAAACAUAGGCGUCAGCUUAUGCGGAGUCGUCCUUGGGAUACCACUCUUGGAGUGCUGAAAUUCUAACCUGCAGCCCUGAAUCGGGUUGGGGGACAUUGUUAGGUGGGCAGUUUGACUGGGGCGGUCGCCUCCAAAAAGGUAACGGAGGCGCUCAAAGGUUGGCUCAGCAUGGAUGGAAACCAUGCCAUAGAGUGCAAACGCAAAAGCCAGCCUGACUGCGAGACUGACGGGUCGAGCAGAAACGAAAGUUGGAGUUAGUGAUCCGGCGGUAUGUGAAUGGAAAUGCCGUCGCUCAACGGAUAAAAGCUACCCUGGGGAUAACAGGCUGAUCUCCCCCAAGAGUCCACAUCGACGGGGAGGUUUGGCACCUCGAUGUCGGCUCAUCGCAUCCUGGGGCUGAAUUCGGUCCCAAGGGUUUGGCUGUUCGCCAAUUAAAGCGGCACGCGAGCUGGGUUCAGAACGUCGUGAGACAGUUCGGUCCCUAUCUGUUGCGGGCGCAGGAAUAUUGAGAGGAGCUGUCCUUAGUACGAGAGGACCGGGAUGGACGUACCGCUGGUGCACCAGUUGUUCUGCCAAGGGCAUAGCUGGGUAGCUAAGUACGGACGAGAUAAACGCUGAAGGCAUCUAAGCGUGAAACUCCCCUCGAGAUAAGUGUUCCCAUCCUUCGGGAGUAAGGCCCCUUGUAGACUACAAGGUUGAUAGGUCAGGAGUGGAAGUGCAGUAAUGUAUGGAGCGGACUGAUACUAAUAGGCCGAGGGCUUGACCUA